GGAGUUAGCCGGUGCUUCUUCUGUGAGUGAUGUCCUUCCUGCCGGCUAUUAACCCGCAGGCCUUCUUCCUCACUGAAAGUGCUUUACAACCCGAAGGCCUUCUUCACACACGCGGCAUGGCUGGAUCAGGGUUGCCCCCAUUGUCCAAUAUUCCCCACUGCUGCCUCCCGUAGGAGUCUGGGCCGUGUCUCAGUCCCAGUGUGGCUGAUCAUCCUCUCAGACCAGCUACGGAUCGUCGCCUUGGUGAGCCGUUACCUCACCAACCAGCUAAUCCGACAUAGGCUCAUCCGAUAGCGCGAGGCCCGAAGGUCCCCCGCUUUCCCCCGUAGGGCCGUAUGCGGUAUUAGCCUGGGUUUCCCCAGGUUAUCCCCCACUACCGGGCAGAUUCCUAUGCAUUACUCACCCGUCCGCCGCUCGCCACCAGGGAGCAAGCUCCCCGUGCUGCCGCUCGACUUGCAUGUGUUAGGCCUGCCGCCAGCGUUCAAUCUGAGCCAUGAUCAAACUCUGA
rnacentral:rRNA from 1 species